GAUGAAGAACGCAGUGAAAUGCGAUAAGUAAUGUGAAUUGCAGAAUUUAGUGAAUCAUCGAAUCUUUGAACGCACAUUGCGCCCGCCAGUAUUCUGGCGGGCAUGCCUGUUCGAGCGUCAUUACAACCCUCAAGCUCUGCUUGGUAUUGGGCUCUGCCGGUCCCGGCAGGCCUUAAAAUCAGUGGCGGCGCCACUCGGCUUCAAGCGUAGUAAUUCUUCUCGCUUCGGAGACCCGGGUGCGUGCUAGCCAGCAACCCCCAACUUUCUCAGGUUGACCUCGGAUCAGGUAGGGAUACCCGCUGAACUUAAGCAUAUCAAUAAGCGGAGGA
rnacentral:misc_RNA from 1 species